AGCGAACGCUGGCGGCAGGCUUAACACAUGCAAGUCGAACGGGCAUAGCAAUAUGUCAGUGGCAGACGGGUGCGUAACGCGUGGGAACGUACCUUUUGGUUCGGAACAACACAGGGAAACUUGUGCUAAUACCGGAUAAGCCCUUACGGGGAAAGAUUUAUCGCCGAAAGAUCGGCCCGCGUCUGAUUAGCUAGUUGGUAGGGUAAUGGCAUACCAAGGCGACGAUCAGUAGCUGGUCUGCGAGGAUGAUCAGCCACAUUGGGACUGAGACACGGCCCAAACUCCUACGGGAGGCAGCAGUGGGGAAUAUUGGACAAUGGGCGAAAGCCUGAUCCAGCCAUGCCGCGGGAGUGAUGAAGGCCCUAGUGUUGUAAAUCUCUUUUGUGCGGGAAGAUAAUGACGGUACCGGAAGAAUAAGCCCCGGCUAACUUCGUG
rnacentral:rRNA from 1 species